UACGAGGGGGGCAAGCGUUGUUCGGAAUUAUUGGGCGUAAAGGGUGCGUAGGCGGUGCGGUAAGUCUGUUGUGAAAUCUCCGGGCUCAACUCGGAGUCUGCAUCAGAAACUGCCGUGCUGGAGUGUGGGAGAGGUGAGUGGAAUUCCCGGUGUAGCGGUGAAAUGCGUAGAGAUCGGGAGGAACACCUGCGGCGAAGGCGGGUCUCUGGGCCGUAACUGACGCUGAGGAGCGAAAGCGUGGGGAGCGAACAGG
rnacentral:rRNA from 1 species